rnacentral:rRNA from 1 species
CCAGACUCCUACGGGAGGCAGCAGUGGGGAAUAUUGCACAAUGGGCGCAAGCCUGAUGCAGCCAUGCCGCGUGUAUGAAGAAGGCCUUCGGGUUGUAAAGUACUUUCAGCGGGGAGGAAGGCGAUAAGGCUAAUAACCUUGUUGAUUGACGUUACCCGCAGAAGAAGCACCGGCUAACUCCGUGCCAGCAGCAGCGGUAAUACGGAGGGUGCAAGCGUUAAUCGGAAUUACUGGGCGUAAAGCGCACGCAGGCGGUCUGUCAAGUCGGAUGUGAAAUCCCCGGGCUCAACCGGGGAACUGCAUUCGAAACUGGCAGGCUGGAGUAUUGUAGAGGGGGGUAGAAUUCCAGGUGUAGCGGUGAAAUGCGUAGAGAUCUGGAGGAAUACCGGUGGCGGAGGCGGCCCCCUGGACAAAGACUGACGCUCAGGCGCGAAAGCGUGGGGAGCAAACAGGAUUAGAUACCCCAGUCCCA